rnacentral:tRNA from 1 species
GGGUAUACAGCUCAGUGGUACAGCGCGUGCUUAGCAUGCAUGAGGUCCUGGGUUCAAUCCCCAGCACCUCUA